rnacentral:lncRNA from 1 species
CUAUUUCAAAGCGUCACCUGGUCUGUGGUAACUGUUGAAUCACAGUCUGAGCCACUGAUUAUCACCUAGGGAAGGGACCUGGUCAGCCCUGGUUAGUGCAGGUGAGGGCAAUGCAGCUGAGUGACUGGAAGGGAUGGAGCCUGGCUGCACCUCUCUUACAGCUCAUUUUUGAAGGCUGACUGCCACUAGAGAAGGAUAUCUGGUUGAGGAUCCCUCCCUUGUGAGUUUUCCUUGUGAGUCUUGAUCUUUGGAGAUAGGUGAGCACUUUUCCUUUCUAACACCUUUCCAUUCAAGCUAGUCCCUUUGCUACUACGCUCCUGUAUCAUCUUUCCACCACGCUGACCUUUCUGAUAGUUAUACCCAGCGAAGAUCACAAGUUAUCCCAAUGAAAAGCCCACACAUAGACUUUUUCCUGGAUACAGUUUCAUCUUGCAGCCUUGAAUGUACAAAGAUGCAGACUUGCUGAGGUGAAUGUUACAUGUUUCUUAUCUAAGGUCAGUGCUUGGUUUCAGCAUACUUCCUGUUAUGUGUGAUGCUCGGUUACUAACGUGAAUCAUUGGGAUAGCUGCUAUUGAGCUCAUGCAACUUUCAUAACAUCACGGAACUUCUAUUCAAUAUGUCAUAAUGGCAGGAUCGAAUAAGCCUCUGGGCCAGUGAUUCCCCUUGGUCUGGGAGGUGGCUGGGAAGCAGAUUUUGCCCUGCUCAUUUCUGAAGUGCAAUAAAUCCUGCUGCCUUUGGAGCCUGACAGCCAGUCCGGAUGUGAUCGGAAAACCAACGGGUGCUCGCUGUCAGAAAGUUGGGUUAAGGCUGUGCAUGGGAGCAGCACUUUGCGCAUGGUUACAUCGUAGACCAGAGAACCAGGGAUCCAAACAGUUCAUCUCUCCUUCAGCCAGCUGGCUGGGACAUGUCAGCUGCUCUGAAACUCAGCUCACAGCCUCAUAAAACGAUGUUAAUAGUGGUGUUUGCUGGGCUGCAAGCUGAGCCUGAUUCUAGAUCUGCUGGAAAUGCCAGGCAGGGGAUGCCUCCACGCUUCCAUAUUGCUGCAUUUGGAUUGGCUUCUCCAAGAGCUGCAAAUAAACAAGUUGAUGGCCUGAUUUUAUCAGCCACACAGGAAGGUGAAUAUAAAAGAACCAAGGAAAAAAAAAAAAAAAAAAAAAAAGAGGAAGAAGAAAGAGGAAAGGGGAUUCAAAUUAACAGCGAUCCCAAUUCCCUGAGUUUCAGUUAAACAAUCUCAUUAAUCCUGUCUGCAGUGCAUGUACUAUGCCUGUGCUCCCCGCUCUGACAGGUCCCCAAAUCACAUUCACUGC